rnacentral:rRNA from 1 species
CCUACGGGCGGCUGCAGUGGGGAAUAUUGGACAAUGGGCGAAAGCCUGAUCCAGCCAUGCCGCGUGUGUGAAGAAGGCCUUCGGGUUGUAAAGCACUUUCAGUGGGGAAGAAAGCCUUGGGGCUAAUACCCUCGAGGAAGGACAUCACCCACAGAAGAAGCACCGGCUAACUCCGUGCCAGCAGCCGCGGUAAUACGGAGGGUGCGAGCGUUAAUCGGAAUUACUGGGCGUAAAGCGCGCGUAGGCGGUCUGAUAAGCCGGUUGUGAAAGCCCCGGGCUCAACCUGGGAACGGCAUCCGGAACUGUCAGGCUAGAGUGCAGGAGAGGAAGGUAGAAUUCCCGGUGUAGCGGUGAAAUGCGUAGAGAUCGGGAGGAAUACCAGUGGCGAAGGCGGCCUUCUGGACUGACACUGACGCUGAGGUGCGAAAGCGUGGAUAGCAAACAGGAUUAGAUACCCCAGUAGUC